GAAACCCGGUGAUCUAGCCAUGGGCAGGUUGAAGGUUGGGUAACACUAACUGGAGGACCGAACCGACUAAUGUUGAAAAAUUAGCGGAUGACUUGUGGCUGGGGGUGAAAGGCCAAUCAAACCGGGAGAUAGCUGGUUCUCCCCGAAAGCUAUUUAGGUAGCGCCUCGUGAAUUCAUCUCCGGGGGUAGAGCACUGUUUCGGCAAGGGGGUCAUCCCGACUUACCAACCCGAUGCAAACUGCGAAUACCGGAGAAUGUUAUCACGGGAGACACACGGCGGGUGCUAACGUCCGUCGUGAAGAGGGAAACAACCCAGACCGCCAGCUAAGGUCCCAAAGUCAUGGUUAAGUGGGAAACGAUGUGGGAAGGCCCAGACAGCCAGGAUGUUGGCUUAGAAGCAGCCAUCAUUUAAAGAAAGCGUAAUAGCUCACUGGUCGAGUCGGCCUGCGCGGAAGAUGUAACGGGGCUAAACCAUGCACCGAAGCUGCGGCAGCGACGCUUAUGCGUUGUUGGGUAGGGGAGCGUUCUGUAAGCCUGUGAAGGUGGGCUGUGAGGGAUGCUGGAGGUAUCAGAAGUGCGAAUGCUGACAUAAGUAACGAUAAAGCGGGUGAAAAGCCCGCUCGCCGGAAGACCAAGGGUUCCUGUCCAACGUUAAUCGGGGCAGGGUGAGUCGACCCCUAAGGCGAGGCCGAAAGGCGUAGUCGAUGGGAAACAGGUUAAUAUUCCUGUACUUGGUGUUACUGCGAAGGGGGGACGGAGAAGGCUAUGUUGGCCGGGCGACGGUUGUCCCGGUUUAAGCGUGUAGGCUGGUUUUCCAGGCAAAUCCGGAAAAUCAAGGCUGAGGCGUGAUGACGAGGCACUACGGUGCUGAAGCAACAAAUGCCCUGCUUCCAGGAAAAGCCUCUAAGCAUCAGGUAACAUCAAAUCGUACCCCAAACCGACACAGGUGGUCAGGUAGAGAAUACCAAGGCGCUUGAGAGAACUCGGGUGAAGGAACUAGGCAAAAUGGUGCCGUAACUUCGGGAGAAGGCACGCUGAUAUGUAGGUGAAGUCCCUCGCGGAUGGAGCUGAAAUCAGUCGAAGAUACCAGCUGGCUGCAACUGUUUAUUAAAAACACAGCACUGUGCAAACACGAAAGUGGACGUAUACGGUGUGACGCCUGCCCGGUGCCGGAAGGUUAAUUGAUGGGGUCAGCGCAAGCGAAGCUCUUGAUCGAAGCCCCGGUAAACGGCGGCCGUAACUAUAACGGUCCUAAGGUAGCGAAAUUCCUUGUCGGGUAAGUUCCGACCUGCACGAAUGGCGUAAUGAUGGCCAGGCUGUCUCCACCCGAGACUCAGUGAAAUUGAACUCGCUGUGAAGAUGCAGUGUACCCGCGGCAAGACGGAAAGACCCCGUGAACCUUUACUAUAGCUUGACACUGAACAUUGAGCCUUGAUGUGUAGGAUAGGUGGGAGGCUUAGAAGUGUGGACGCCAGUCUGCAUGGAGCCGACCUUGAAAUACCACCCUUUAAUGUUUGAUGUUCUAACGUUGACCCGUAAUCCGGGUUGCGGACAGUGUCUGGUGGGUAGUUUGACUGGGGCGGUCUCCUCCUAAAGAGUAACGGAGGAGCACGAAGGUUGGCUAAUCCUGGUCGGACAUCAGGAGGUUAGUGCAAUGGCAUAAGCCAGCUUGACUGCGAGCGUGACGGCGCGAGCAGGUGCGAAAGCAGGUCAUAGUGAUCCGGUGGUUCUGAAUGGAAGGGCCAUCGCUCAACGGAUAAAAGGUACUCCGGGGAUAACAGGCUGAUACCGCCCAAGAGUUCAUAUCGACGGCGGUGUUUGGCACCUCGAUGUCGGCUCAUCACAUCCUGGGGCUGAAGUAGGUCCCAAGGGUAUGGCUGUUCGCCAUUUAAAGUGGUACGCGAGCUGGGUUUAGAACGUCGUGAGACAGUUCGGUCCCUAUCUGCCGUGGGCGCUGGAGAACUGAGGGGGGCUGCUCCUAGUACGAGAGGACCGGAGUGGACGCAUCACUGGUGUUCGGGUUGUCAUGCCAAUGGCACUGCCCGGUAGCUAAAUGCGGAAGAGAUAAGUGCUGAAAGCAUCUAAGCACGAAACUUGCCCCGAGAUGAGUUCUCCCUGACCCUUUAAGGGUCCUGAAGGAACGUUGAAGACGACGACGUUGAUAGGCCGGGUGUGUAAGCGCAGCGAUGCGUUGAGCUAACCGGUACUAAUGAACCGUGAGGCUUAACCUU
rnacentral:rRNA from 2 species